rnacentral:ncRNA from 1 species
AAGGAAUAACAGGGGAAUUGGUGGAAUCCGGUUGAGAAUAGAACAGGGAAGCCAUUUUAGACCCUUAGACCUGAACCGGAUAACACCGGCGGAGGGAGCAUAAAGAUUCAGGCGU